CACUGGUCGAGUCGGCCUGCGCGGAAGAUGUAACGGGGCUAAACCAUGCACCGAAGCUGCGGCAGCGAACGUAUCACUUAAAGCGAUUCAGCGGAUGACGAUUGACGGAGCGAAGCGACGUCAAAGCGUAUACAAAGUCGAGUCGGUUUAAGGAUACGUUCGUUGGGUAGGGGAGCGUUCUGUAAGCCUGCGAAGGUGGCCUGUGAGGGUUGCUGGAGGUAUCAGAAGUGCGAAUGCUGACAUAAGUAACGAUAAAGCGGGUGAAAAGCCCGCUCGCCGGAAGACCAAGGGUUCCUGUCCAACGUUAAUCGGGGCAGGGUGAGUCGACCCCUAAGGCGAGGCCGAAAGGCGUAGUCGAUGGGAAACGGGUUAAUAUUCCCGUACUUGGUGUUACUGCGAAGGGGGGACGGAGAAGGCUAUGUUGGCCGGGCGACGGUUGUCCCGGUUUAAGCGUGUAGGCUGGUUUUCCAGGCAAAUCCGGAAAAUCAAGGCUGAGGCGUGACGACGAGGCACUACGGUGCUGAAGCAACAAAUGCCCUGCUUCCAGGAAAAGCCUCUAAGCAUCAGGUAACACGAAAUCGUACCCCAAACCGACACAGGUGGUCAGGUAGAGAAUACCAAGGCGCUUGAGAGAACUCGGGUGAAGGAACUAGGCAAAAUGGUGCCGUAACUUCGGGAGAAGGCACGCUGACAUGUAGGUGAAGUGAUUUACUCAUGGAGCUGAAGUCAGUCGAAGAUACCAGCUGGCUGCAACUGUUUAUUAAAAACACAGCACUGUGCAAACACGAAAGUGGACGUAUACGGUGUGACGCCUGCCCGGUGCCGGAAGGUUAAUUGAUGGGGUCAGCGCAAGCGAAGCUCCUGAUCGAAGCCCCGGUAAACGGCGGCCGUAACUAUAACGGUCCUAAGGUAGCGAAAUUCCUUGUCGGGUAAGUUCCGACCUGCACGAAUGGCGUAAUGAUGGCCAGGCUGUCUCCACCCGAGACUCAGUGAAAUUGAACUCGCUGUGAAGAUGCAGUGUACCCGCGGCAAGACGGAAAGACCCCGUGAACCUUUACUAUAGCUUGACACUGAACAUUGAGCCUUGAUGUGUAGGAUAGGUGGGAGGCUUUGAAGUGUGGACGCCAGUCUGCAUGGAGCCGACCUUGAAAUACCACCCUUUAAUGUUUGAUGUUCUAACGUGGACCCGUGAUCCGGGUUGCGGACAGUGUCUGGUGGGUAGUUUGACUGGGGCGGUCUCCUCCUAAAGAGUAACGGAGGAGCACGAAGGUUGGCUAAUCCUGGUCGGACAUCAGGAGGUUAGUGCAAUGGCAUAAGCCAGCUUGACUGCGAGCGUGACGGCGCGAGCAGGUGCGAAAGCAGGUCAUAGUGAUCCGGUGGUUCUGAAUGGAAGGGCCAUCGCUCAACGGAUAAAAGGUACUCCGGGGAUAACAGGCUGAUACCGCCCAAGAGUUCAUAUCGACGGCGGUGUUUGGCACCUCGAUGUCGGCUCAUCACAUCCUGGGGCUGAAGUAGGUCCCAAGGGUAUGGCUGUUCGCCAUUUAAAGUGGUACGCGAGCUGGGUUUAGAACGUCGUGAGACAGUUCGGUCCCUAUCUGCCGUGGGCGCUGGAGAACUGAGGGGGGCUGCUCCUAGUACGAGAGGACCGGAGUGGACGCAUCACUGGUGUUCGGGUUGUCAUGCCAAUGGCACUGCCCGGUAGCUAAAUGCGGAAGAGAUAAGUGCUGAAAGCAUCUAAGCACGAAACUUGCCCCGAGAUGAGUUCUCCCUGAGACUUUAGGUCUCCUGAAGGAACGUUGAAGACGACGACGUUGAUAGGCCGGGUGUGUAAGCGCAGCGAUGCGUUGAGCUAACCGGUACUAAUGAACCGUGAGGCUUAACCUUACAACGCCGAAG
rnacentral:rRNA from 1 species